rnacentral:tRNA from 1 species
UAGCAGUUAGUUUAACAAAAACAACUAAUUUCGGCUUAGUAAAUCCAGAUUAAACCUCAGGACUGCUAC